UACGUAGGUGGCAAGCGUUGUCCGGAUUUACUGGGCGUAAAGAGCGCGCAGGCGGUCGGAUAAGUCGAAUGUGAAAGCCCCGGCUCAACUGGGGAGGUCAUUCGAUACUGUUCGACUCGAAGGCAGGAGAGGGAAGUGGAAUUCCCGGUGUAGUGGUGAAAUGCGUUAGAUAUCGGGAGGAACACCAGUGGCGAAGGCGACUUCCUGGCCUGUUCUUGACGCUGAGGCGGCGAAAAGCCUAGGGGAGCAAACGGGG
rnacentral:rRNA from 1 species